rnacentral:sRNA from 2 species
AUACAAUUUAUUUUGAGAUUCAAUGAAAUUGUCUAGUUGAAUUUUUUUUGUUGCCAUUAUAAUAAUCUUGAUAAUACUCAUAGAUAACUUUAAAGAUAGUUGAUUCAUCAAUUUUUUGGAAAUAAUAUUUUC